CUACGGGUUGCACCAGCUAAGAAUCAUCUGCAAUACACGCAAGUGUGACAGUUUGAGCCAGAGCGCUCUUCAAUCGAAGAGCUUUUCUGCACUGUAAAAAGGUGUAGGAAUAAGGACUGGGUAAGACGGGUGCCAGCCGCCGCGGUAAUACCCGCGGUCCAAGUCGCAGCCAUAUUUAUUGGGUCUAAAACAUCCGUAGCUUGCUUUAUAAGUCCCUUGUGAAAUUCUGCAUCUCAAGUGUAGAGCGUGCAGGGGGUACUGUGAAGCUAGAGAUUGGGAGACGUAAGAAGUACGUUUAAAGUAAUGGUAAAAUAUGUUAAUCUUAGACGGACUAACAACAGCGAGGGCAUCUUACGAGAACAGUUCUGACAGUAAGGGAUGAAGGCUAGGGGCGCAAAACGGAUUAGAUACCCUAGUAGUC
rnacentral:rRNA from 1 species